GGAGGCAGCAGUGGGGGAUAUUGCACAAUGGGGGAAACCCUGAUGCAGCGACGCCGCGUGGGUGAAGAAGCGCCUCGGCGCGUAAAGCCCUGUCAGCAGGGAAGAAAAUGACGGUACCUGAAGAAGAAGCCCCGGCUAACUACGUGCCAGCAGCCGCGGUAAUACGUAGGGGGCAAGCGUUAUCCGGAUUUACUGGGUGUAAAGGGGGCGCAGACGGCGAUGCAAGCCAGGAGUGAAAGCCCGGGGCCCAACCCCGGGACUGCUCUUGGAACUGCGGGGCUAGAGGGCAGGAGGGGCAGGCGGAG
rnacentral:rRNA from 1 species